GAUGAACGCUGGCGGCGUGCCUAAUACAUGCAAGUCGAGCGAACAGAUGAGGAGCUUGCUCCUCUGACGUUAGCGGCGGACGGGUGAGUAACACGUGGAUAACCUACCUAUAAGACUGGGAUAACUUCGGGAAACCGGAUCUAAUACCGGAUAAUAUAUUGAACCGCAUGGUUCAAUAGUGAAAUACGGUUUUGCUGUCACUUAUAGAUGGAUCCGCGCCGCAUUAGCUAGUUGGUAAGGUAACGGCUUACCAAGGCAACGAUGCGUAGACGACCUGCGAGGGUGAUAGGCCACACUGGAACUGAGACACGGUCCAGACUCCUACGGGAGGCAGCAGUAGGGAAUCUUCCGCAAUGGGCGAAAGCCUGACGGAGCAACGCCGCGUGAGUGAUGAAGGUCUUCGGAUCGUAAAACUCUGUUAUUAGGGAAGAACAAAUGUGUAAGUAACUAUGCACGUCUUGACGGUACCUAAUCAGAAAGCCACGGCUAACUACGUG
rnacentral:rRNA from 1 species